rfam:Halorhodospira halophila SL1, complete genome.
GGGUCUGUAGCUCAGUUGGUCAGAGCGCACCCCUGAUAAGGGUGAGGUCGGUGGUUCAAGUCCACCCAGACCCA